UACGUAGGGCGCGAGCGUGUCCGGAUUUAUUGGGCGUAAAGAGCUUGUAGGUGGUUUGUCGCGUCUGCUGUGAAAAUCCGAGGCUCAACCUCGGACUUGCAGUGGGUACGGGCAGACUAGAGUGUGGUAGGGGAGAUUGGAAUUCCUGGUGUAGCGGUGGAAUGCGCAGAUAUCAGGAGGAACACCGAUGGCGAAGGCGGAUCUCUGGGCCUGUUCUGACGCUGAGGCGCGAAAGCUAGGGGAGCGAACAGG
rnacentral:rRNA from 1 species